UACGUAGGGGGCAAGCGUUGUCCGGAUUCAUUGGGCGUAAAGAGCUCGUAGGCGGUGUGUCACGUCGGCCGUGAAAACCUGCAGCUUAACUGUGGGCGUGCGGUCGAUACGGGCAUCACUGGAGUUCGGCAGGGGAGACUGGAAUUCCUGGUGUAGCGGUGGAAUGCGCAGAUAUCAGGAGGAACACCGGUGGCGAAGGCGGUUCUCUGGGCAUUACCUGA
rnacentral:rRNA from 1 species